UACGUAGGGGGCUAGCGUUGUCCGGAAUCAUUGGGCGUAAAGCGCGUGUAGGCGGCCCGGUAAGUCCGCUGUGAAAGUCGGGGGCUCAACCCUCGAAAGCCGGUGGAUACUGUCGGGCUCGAGUACGGAAGAGGCGAGUGGAACUCCUGGUGUAGCGGUGGAAUGCGCAGAUAUCAGGAAGAACACCAACGGCGAAGGCAGCUCGCUGGGACGGUACUGACGCUGAGACGCGAAAGCGUGGGGAGCGAACAGG
rnacentral:rRNA from 1 species